rnacentral:misc_RNA from 1 species
GAUGAAGAACGUAGCGAAAUGCGAUAAGUAAUGUGAAUUGCAGAAUUCAGUGAAUCAUCGAAUCUUCGAACGCACAUUGCGCUCGCCAGUAUUCUGGCGAGCAUGCCUGUUCGAGCGUCAUUUCAACCAUCAAGCUCUGCUUGCGUUGGGGAUCCGCGUCUGACGCGGUCCCUCAAAAACAGUGGCGGGCUCGCUAGUCACACCGAGCGUAGUAACUCUACAUCGCUAUGGUCGUGCGGCGGGUUCUUGCCGUAAAACCCCCAAUUUCUAAGGUUGACCUCGGAUCAGGUAGGAAUACCCGCUGAACUUAAGCAUAUCAAUAAGCGGAGGA